CACCUAGACAUCGCAACUAAAUCCGCGAUGAGUUUUUAGAUUUGCAUUCUAUAAACUCGAUCGUCGGCACGAAUUUACUCUAGCGCUACGCUUGUCGGCGCGGCAGCGGGUUGAACUAAUUGAUCGUGAGAUUUUGUAUGGGAUGACGUUUUGAGUGGCAUUCUGUAAGGAAAUUCCAGCCCCAUUCCGAAACACACUUCGCACUCGAAUGCGCUCCAAAAUGUCAAAUAAAAAGUUAGUAUUUUGUGAGUGAGAAUAGACGGAGUUUUAGAAAAUUGCAUUAAAAUUACUUUUAUUAGUGUUCAAAUGUGUUAAAAAUAAGUUUUGUGAUAUUUAUUUGAACUAAAUUAUGCAUAUUAGGGAUGACACGAAUGUUUAUAUUAAAGGCAAAUGGAUUUCAACUCGAGUAAAGAGAUAUUAUGCACCUUGUCAUUUUUGGCUAAAGGCAGUAAUCUGUAAAGUAAUUAAUAAAUUUACCAGCAGAGAACGAUAACGUUUUUACUGUCGCAAAGGUUACCAUGCAAGAAAGUGCAAUCGAUAACAGAUAAAGAUCUAAAUAAGUCAAAUGCGGAUCCAACUUAAUAUGGUGGAAUGGUGGUGCUAUGCAAGUCUGAUUUAUUUUUAUUCACUGUAUCUACCUACCUAUAGUAAAAAAAAACACUUAAGAGAUGUACAAAGGCUGGUGAUGAAGUGGUUUUGCUUGGUGAUUUAGGAUAUGCUCCACGCGCCUGCCUAAUGACACCAGUGAGUGGUACCGAAGAUAAUUCCCCAGAAGCACUCAUAUUC